rnacentral:rRNA from 1 species
UAGAGUUUGAUCCUGGCUCAGAUUGAACGCUGGCGGCAGGCCUAACACAUGCAAGUCGAGCGGAAACGACACUAACAACCCUUCGGGUGCGUUAAUGGGCGUCGAGCGGCGGACGGGUGAGUAAUGCCUAGGAAAUUGCCUUGAUGUGGGGGAUAACCAUUGGAAACGAUGGCUAAUACCGCAUAAUGCCUACGGGCCAAAGAGGGGGACCUUCGGGCCUCUCGCGUCAAGAUAUGCCUAGGUGGGAUUAGCUAGUUGGUGAGGUAAUGGCUCACCAAGGCGACGAUCCCUAGCUGGUCUGAGAGGAUGAUCAGCCACACUGGAACUGAGACACGGUCCAGACUCCUACGGGAGGCAGCAGUGGGGAAUAUUGCACAAUGGGCGAAAGCCUGAUGCAGCCAUGCCGCGUGUAUGAAGAAGGCCUUCGGGUUGUAAAGUACUUUCAGUUGUGAGGAAGGGGGUAGCGUUAAUAGCGCUAUCUCUUGACGUUAGCAACAGAAGAAGCACCGGCUAACUCCGUGCCAGCAGCCGCGGUAAUACGGAGGGUGCGAGCGUUAAUCGGAAUUACUGGGCGUAAAGCGCAUGCAGGUGGUUCAUUAAGUCAGAUGUGAAAGCCCGGGGCUCAACCUCGGAACUGCAUUUGAAACUGGUGAACUAGAGUACUGUAGAGGGGGGUAGAAUUUCA